CAAUAGCGUAUAUUAACGUUGUUGCAGUUAAAAAGCUCGGAGUUGGAUUUCUGGAGGGAGCGUCGGCCCGUAUUUACGAGUGCGUGACGUCUCUGUCCAUCCUUGCGGGAAGGCACGGCAUUGAUUUGUUGUGUCGGAUCGCAUCAUUUACUGUGAAAAAAUUAGAGUGUUCAAAGCAGGCUUUCGCUUGAAUACAUUAGCAUGGAAUAAUAAGAUAGGACUUUGGUGCUAUUUUGUUGGUUGAGCCUAAAGUAAUGAUUAAUAGGGAUAGUUGGGGGCACCUGUAUUGCGUUGUCAGAGGUGAAAUUCUUGGAUUUACGCAAGACAAACAGCUGCGAAAGCGUCUGCCAAGGAUGUUUUCAUUA
rnacentral:rRNA from 1 species